CCUACGGGAGGCAGCAGUGAGGCAUAUUGGUCAAUGGACGAGAGUCUGAACCAGCCAAGUCGCGUGAAGGAUGACUGCCCUAUGGGUUGUAAACUUCUUUUAUAUGGGAAUAAAAUGUUCCACGUGUGGGAUUUUGUAUGUACCAUAUGAAUAAGGAUCGGCUAACUCCGUGCCAGCAGCCGCGGUAAUACGGAGGAUCCGAGCGUUAUCCGGAUUUAUUGGGUUUAAAGGGAGCGUAGGUGGAUUGUUAAGUCAGUUGUGAAAGUUUGCGGCUCAACCGUAAAAUUGCAGUUGAAACUGGCAGUCUUGAGUACAGGAGAGGUGGGCGGAAUUCGUGGUGUAGCGGUGAAAUGCUUAGAUAUCACGAAGAACUCCGAUUGCGAAGGCAGUUCACUGGACUGCAACUGACACUGAGGCUCGAAAGUGUGGGUAUCAAACAGGAUUAGAUACCCCUGUAGUC
rnacentral:rRNA from 1 species